GACUCAACACGGGGAAACUCACCAGGUCCAGACAUAAUAAGGAUUGACAGAUUGAGAGCACUUUCAAGAUUUUAUGGGUGGUGGUGCAUGGCCGUUCUUAGUUGGUGGAGUGAUUUGUCUGCUUAAUUGCGAUAACGAACGAGACCUUGACCUACUAAAUAGAACUUAUAGUUACGACUAUUUUAGAUCUUCUUAGAGGGACAAUCUGUGAUUAACAGAUGGAAGUUUGAGGCAAUAACAGGUCUGUGAUGCCCUUAGAUGUUCUGGGCCGCACGCGCGCUACACUGAUAAAAACAACAAGUAGAAACCUGAUUCGGAAGAAAUGGGAAAUCUUAUGGAAGUUUAUCGUGAUGGGGAUUGAGCAUUGCAAUUAUUGCUCAUGAACGAGGAAUUCCUAGUAAGCGCGAGUCAUCAGCUCGCGUUGAUUACGUCCCUGCCCUUUGUACACACCGCCCGUCGAUACUACCGAUUGAAUGGCUUAGUGAGACCUUNGGAUAUGUUUUACUUUCUUUACGGAGGGUAAAAGAUAGAAAUUGUUCAAACUUGGGUAUUUAGAGGAAGUAAAAGUCGUAACAAGGUUU
rnacentral:rRNA from 1 species